CAUCUAGCAGGUGUGACGAGGACUUGGAUGCAUUCAAUCUACAUAUUUACUAUGGUGGGGGCAUAUGUCAAAGAACCAGAAGAAAAAUAUUUGGGGGGCAGUAUGGAGAUUUUUGAGGAGGUUCUAGCCAUGAGAGUGAAUAUCGCUGCUGUGAUGUUAUUCUGUGAAUUUCUUGAGUGACAUAAACAUGCAAAAUACAUGUACAGAAUUCCAAUUUGAGAUGGCAAAUUAAGACUUAGUCAAAUAGACGUUGAGGAUGAUGUCAUAGCUAUGGCUUGUGUAGGGAAGUAAAAUGGGUAUGCAAAAGUAUACGUGGUUCAUGACUUCCAUAUUAGAUUUGUUGAUGGUAGUGAACAGUGCUUUGGGGUUGAAAAUGAAUCUGUAAAAGAAAAUGAUGAUUUGUUGUAUGUGGAUAUCAUAUUCGAUGACUUCUUAAGUGGGAUUGUAGAAGUGCUAGUUCACGCAAUUGUAAAAGAAGAUAUAAGAGAAAUGGAAAAUAAUAAGUGAAAAGCUGCUGCGUUUGAAGGAAGAAAAUGGAGGAAGAGGAGGGUAAGAAUGGUGCACGGUCAAACACAAUUGAGGAUUGUGAAAGUUUUCAUGAUAGCGACUAUGACUUUAGUAAGGAUGAUGAUGAUGCAAUUUACAAGAAUUGUAUUCCUACUGUUGAUAGGGCACUGGAGCAGCAAAUUAGCAAUCUACAAGCUACUGGUGAAGGUGAAGGAGCAAGUAAAAGUGCAGCUGAUGAGAAGUGUAAAAUGACAGCUGAUAUGAAGGGCAAAAAUGCAGCUGAUGUGAAGGGUAAGAAUGCAGUUGGUAUUAAAGGCAAAGGGGCAAGUGAAAAGCUGCUAUUCAAGAUAGUGCUUAUGUUGAUUUCAGCAUUUAUGCUGGAGAACAAAUACCUAUCAAUGAAGAGUCAGAUUUCGUGAACACAAAGGAGUUCAAUGGCAACUAUUAUUCCUCGGAUGAAGAUACUUUAGUAAAGAAACCACAGUAUGUAAGAUUUAGACCACAAAGGGACAUGAAGGAUCCAAAGUUUUUUGUGGGUCUACUUUUUGAUAACAAGAAACUAUUCAAGAUAACAGUGAAACAUUAUUCUGUUAAGUGAGGCAAGGAGCAUAAAUGGGCCAAGAAUGACAAGAAUAGAAUUAGGACAAGUUGCAAGAAUAAAAAGUGUGCAUGGUUCACUUAUACAGCUAAGGAGCUGGAUUGUGAGGCUUUUGUAAUCAGGACCAUGGGGCCAGAACAUGCAUGUGGUCGAACUUUUUAUCACAAGCAUGCCAACUCAGGAUUCUUAGCUAGAUAUUAUAUGGAGUUUUUGAGAUUGAAUAGAAAGGUUAUAUGGUCUGUAUUUAAGGAAAAGAUUCAUCAAGAGUUGAAUGUGCGUAUUACAAAGGAGUAAGCAUACAAGACAUUCAGGAAAGCCAAGAUUUUGAUUCAAGGCAACGACAAGCGGCAAUAUACAAGAUUGUAGGACUAUUGUGAUGAAUUAUUAGAUCAAAUCCAGAUUCUACAGUUUAUAUAGAGGUAGAGGUUGACGAGAUAAGUGGGAAGGAAAGAUUCCAAAGACUUUAUAUUUGCUUUGCAGCCUUGAAAAAAGGUUUAAAGGCUAGGUGUAGAUUAGUACUUGAUGUUGAUAGUUGCCAUCUAAAAGGACCAUAUUCUGGAGUACUUUUGAUAGCUGUAGCGAUAGAUGCAAAUAACUACAUUUAUCCUAUUGCCUAUGCAGUUGUUGAGGUGGAGAACAAGAGCUCUUGGAAGUGGUUAUUAACUUUUUGAAAUACGAUCUUAGCAUCCAUGAACAAAAAAACUAGACAUUUAUCAAUGACCAGUAAAAGUGACAGGGAUUGGGUUUAGCAAUCCAAGAAAUUCUGCCAGGUGAGGAGCACAAGCACUCUGUUAGGCACCUACACAAUAACUUCAAGAAUCUGCAUCCAGGUGAGACAUUAAAGGGCAUGUUUUGGGCUUGUGCCAGAUCUACAUCUAUGAAUAAAUUUGAGAGUGAAAUGGAUGCAUUGAGAAAGUAUGAUGAACAAGCUCACAAAUGAUUGCUUAACAAUACAACCUUACACCACUGGUCAAGAUCACAUUUUAGAUCCUCGUCGAAAUGUGACAUUCUCCUUAAUAACUUGUGUGAAAGUUUCAAUUCUAUCAUAUUGGAUGCUAGAGAAAAAUCCAUUAUUGGUAUGCUUGAGAACAUUAGGAUAUACCUUAUGGAAAGAUUAAGGACAAAGAGAAAAUGAAUGAGGAAAAAGAAUGAUGAAAUCUAUCCAACAAUUGUAAAAAAACUUGAAAAAACAAAAGAUGAUGCAAGAGCAAAUAUUGCAAGAUGGUCUGAUGUUGAUAAAUUUGAGGUUAUACACAUGUAUAGAGGUACCUCUAUUGUAGAUUUAAAACGGCAGGCAUGCACUUGUAGGAGAUGGGAAGUUACUGGCAUACCAUGGUCACAUGCUUUAUGUUGCAUUCCUUUGACUAAAAAUGAGCCAGAAAAAUUUAUGCAUCCAUGUUACACAAGAGCUACAUAUCUGAUGGUUUAUGAGCCAACUAUUGGUCCAAUCAAUGGACCUAACAAUUGGAAGAAAUUUAACAAAACCCCCUUGAGUGCACCAAAGAAGGUCAAACUUCCUGGUAGGCUUAAGAAAACACGAAGGAGAGAGCCAGAUGAGCCAAGGAUUGAUUCAAAGGGAUGUAUAUGAUUGUUUAGGAAGGAAAUUAUGCAAAUGACUUGCACUAACUGCAAGCAAAAGAGACACACCAAGAGAAAAUGCCCUAAGAUCAUUGGAGUAGAAAAUGCAAAAUGCAAGGGAAGGGGACCAGCUUUCAACACCAAUAGGUGCAAAACAUGCAAGAUUCUUGAUCAUAAUGUCAGAACUUGUCCAUUAGCAGGCCAAAACGCUCAGGACAAUGCUAAUAAAGCUAUUGGUAUGACUGUUGUUCAUUAAUUGUCCUUACAUUGCUCUUGAGGACAACUAACCUUUUUUUAAUUGCAGCUGAUAGUGAGUUUAGAGACACCAAUAGGCCCUUACAAAAUGAGACAAUGGAAGCUUCAAAUUCAUAUGUACAUGACCAUAUUACUGGAAUGGCUGAGGAAAUUGAAGUGCAAGCUACUGCUCCAAAAGCAAGCUCUCAGAAAGUGGGUAGGAUUGCUUGCUGUUGGUUUUGUCAUGUUCCAAGACACACCAAAAAAUCUUGCCCCUAUUGGAGAGCACAAGCUUGGAGAAAUAGGAUGGCUGGUGUGAAAAGAAGAAAACAAACAGCUCAUAGGCUUCUGGAUGAGCUAGAUGGUGCCGCUCAAGAUCCACUUGAAACCUAGAAGUAGAGCCUGUUGGGACACUAGCAAAGCAUAUGUGCAAGCCUGUUUUGUUGUGUUUUUGAGAAAUGCAGAUUAGCAUAUUUUUUGGUUGAAACAAUAGCAGUUCAAGCCUGUUUUUUCAGUAGCAGUAGCUUGUUCAAACUUGAAGUACUAGCAGCUUAUCUCUAUGUUCAAUAUUUUGGACGAAGCAGUUGCAGUUCAAGUCUAUUUUGUUGUGCUUUUGAAGAUUUUCAGAUCUGUAUAUUUUUUGGUUGAAACAAUUGCAAUGCAUCCCCUGUUUUGCCAUGUUUUUGAAGAAUUGUAGAUUCGCAUAUUUUUUGG